rnacentral:rRNA from 1 species
UACGAAGGGGGCUAGCGUUGUUCGGAAUUACUGGGCGUAAAGCGCGCGCAGGCGGCUAUCCAAGUCAGUGGUGGAAGCCCGGAGCUCAACUCCGGAACUGCCAUUGAAACUGUUUAGCUUGAGGACGAGAGAGGUGAGUGGAAUUCCCAGUGUAGAGGUGAAAUUCGUAGAUAUUGGGAAGAACACCGGUGGCGAAGGCGGCUCACUGGCUCGUAUCUGACGCUCAGGCGCGAUAGCGUGGGGAUCAAACAGG